GACGAACGCUGGCGGCGUGCUUAACACAUGCAAGUCGAACGGAAAGGCCCUGCUUUUGUGGGGUGCUCGUGUGGCGAACGGGUGAGUAACACGUGAGUAACCUGCCCUUGACUUUGGGAUAACUUCAGGAAACUGGGGCUAAUACCGGAUAGGAGCUCCUGCUGCAUGGUGGGGGUUGGAAAGUUUCGGCGGUUGGGGAUGGACUCGCGGCUUAUCAGCUUGUUGGUGGGGUAGUGGCUUACCAAGGCUUUGACGGGUAGCCGGCCUGGGAGGGUGACCGGCCACAUUGGGACUGAGAUACGGCCCAGACUCCUACGGGAGGCAGCAGUGGGGAAUAUUGCACAAUGGGCGGAAGCCUGAUGCAGCAACGCCGCGUGCGUAAUGACGGCCUUCGGGUUGUAAACCGCUGUCGCCUGUGACGAAGCGUGAGUGACGGUAAUGGGUAAAGAAGCACCGGCUAACUACGUG
rnacentral:rRNA from 1 species